CCCUGUGUCUGUCCCUGUGUCUGUCCCUGUGUCUGUCCCUGUCUGUCCCUGUGGCUGUCCCUGUGUCUGUCCCUGUGUCUGGCCCUGUGUCUGUCCCUGUGUCUGUCCCUGGCUGUCCCUGUGUCUGUCCCUGUGUGUCCCUGUGUCUGUCCCUGUGUCUGUCCCUGGUGCAGAGGUCAGAGCAGGCCCAGGCUCUGCUCCAGGCCCAGCAAUGGCCCCAGAGCCACGGGCAGGGCCUGAGCCCAGCAAUUCCCCUCCCAGGAGGCACAACUUCUGCCCUGGGCAGUGCCCAGCCCUGAGCAGAGCCCAGAGGGGCUCUGGGGGCUCCUCCCUGGGGACAUUCCAGAGCCAUCUGGACACAGCCCUGUGCCCUGUGCUCUGGGAUGGCCCUGCUGGAGCAGGGAGGUGGCAGCAGCUGUCCCCUGUGGUCCCUGCCAUCCUCACCCACCCUUGUGUGCAGCAGAGCAGUCCCUGCUGCUGAAGGGAGGUUUGCUCAGAGCUGCCACUGCUGCUGUGGGGGUAGGAACUAAACACAAUUAAGGAUAGACUGUUCCUGUCCAAGGAAGGUCAAACAAGAACACGCGUUUGUGCCUACCCAAACCACCCCUGCUAUAAAAGGAAUCCUCAGAGACUGAAUUUCCCUGAGCGCUGCACGGUGACAGCAAGGCCAUACAUGUCUUCAAAGAGGAACACUACUGAUUGCCAUGGAUGAAAGAGUUUUUUGUUUCUCCACCCUCCCUCCUUUUCAACAAAAGGGAAACAAGAGAGAAAGUUUCCUUUUGACAGGGAAACAAACACUUGAAGAAGAGGCUAAUAACAUUGAAGACAUGGACAUAUUGCAGACUUCUGGCCAGAAAAACAUGGAACAGAGGAUUUAUAUUGUGUAUGGAGGUUUCCAGCACACCCCAAUUUUCAGAGCAAUAAAUCACUGCCUGAAUUUGAACCACACAGAGCUAAUAAGGACAAAGAGUUACACAUUUCUGCUUCUUUGAUUUAGCAUUCAAUCUCAGGUUCAAAGUUCUGAUUCUGCUUUAUUUUUAUACAAGCAUGUGGGCUGGGGAGAUCAGAGGACUCUAUUCCAUCUCCCCUGCUGCUCCUGUGUUUUAUGUAGGUGACAGUUUUUCUGCUGUAAUUUCAUUACAAAAAAUAAUUGGUAUCUAUUUACCCAA